rnacentral:precursor_RNA from 10 species
CAACGGUAUUUUGGAAUCUCGAUAUGUAACCUUACCCUGUAAAUCGGAGAAGUCUGAAUUUCCUCAGUCAGGUAACUUCUCGUUUCACAGGGUAUAUUUACCAAUCGGGACUGACAACACGGAGCCAG